AGCAUGAUGGUGUAAUGGAAACACGACGGUCUUCGAAACCGUGAACCUGGGUUCGAUUCCCAGUCAUGCUA
rnacentral:tRNA from 1 species